UACGAAGGGGGCUAGCGUUGCUCGGAAUCACUGGGCGUAAAGCGCACGUAGGCGGAUUGCUAAGUCAGGGGUGAAAUCCUGGAGCUCAACUCCAGAACUGCCUUUGAUACUGGCGACCUUGAGUCCGGGAGAGGUGAGUGGAACUGCGAGUGUAGAGGUGAAAUUCGUAGAUAUUCGCAAGAACACCAGUGGCGAAGGCGGCUCACUGGCCCGGUACUGACGCUGAGGUGCGAAAUCGUGGGGAGCAAACAGG
rnacentral:rRNA from 1 species